UACGAAGGGGGCUAGCGUUGUUCGGAUUUACUGGGCGUAAAGCGCACGUAGGCGGACCGAUCAGUCAGGGGUGAAAUCCCAGAGCUCAACUCUGGAACUGCCUUUGAUACUGUCGAUCUGGAGUAUGGAAGAGGUGAGUGGAAUUCCGAGUGUAGAGGUGAAAUUCGUAGAUAUUCGGAGGAACACCAGUGGCGAAGGCGGCUCACUGGUCCAUUACUGACGCUGAGGUGCGAAAGCGUGGGGAGCAAACAGG
rnacentral:rRNA from 1 species